AUGAGCUUAUCACAUGUGCCGACUGCGCCAGGCCGCGCACCAAAACACCGAGCUGGCUCGUUGCUAUUCAGCAGCUGCCGGAAGAAACCCAAGAACUCGGCGGCAGCGAUCAGGCGGGAGGAGGCUGCCGCGAAGGUGGACCGGUUUCAGAAGACCGUGAAGCAGCCCCUGAUGGUGUCUGCGGCCUCGCUCUCUCUUGAGUGGCCCGACUCUGCCUCCAUGAUCGGGACGGCGAAGGGCUCCGCCAACACCCGCCGCAUGGACCCGCGCGACGUGCUCCACGCGGCGACGGAGAAGAACGCGCAGGAAGCUCGCGAAGAGCGGGCGAAGGUGGAGCGGUAG
rnacentral:rRNA from 1 species